rnacentral:Y_RNA from 1 species
GGCUGUCCGAGGGCAGUGGUAUUUACAACCAAUUGAUCACAACCAGUUACAGAUUGCUUUGUUCCUUCCUGACCCCCACUGCUUCACUUGACUAGCCUUAA